rnacentral:rRNA from 1 species
GACGAACGCUGGCGGCGUGCUUAACACAUGCAAGUCGAACGGAAAGGCCCUGCUUUUGUGGGGUGCUCGAGUGGCGAACGGGUGAGUAACACGUGAGUAACCUGCCCUUGGCUUUGGGAUAACUUCAGGAAACUGGGGCUAAUACCGGAUAGGAGCUCCUGCUGCAUGGUGGGGGUUGGAAAGUUUCGGCGGUUGGGGAUGGACUCGCGGCUUAUCAGCUUGUUGGUGGGGUAGUGGCUUACCAAGGCUUUGACGGGUAGCCGGCCUGAGAGGGUGACCGGCAAAAUUGGGACUGAGAUACGGCCCAGACUCCUACGGGAGGCAGCAGUGGGGAAUAUUGCACAAUGGGCGGAAGCCUGAUGCAGCAACGCCGCGUGCGGGAUGACGGCCUUCGGGUUGUAAACCGCUUUCGCCUGUGACGAAGCGUGAGUGACGGUAAUGGGUAAAGAAGCACCGGCUAACUACGUG